rnacentral:lncRNA from 1 species
AGAGUACAACCCAUAUGACUCCGUGACCUGAUGGUAACUUGUGGGAGAAAACCAUAGAACUAAAAAUAAGUCAGAGCGCUGAAGGGGGUAGAAACAAAAAGACUGCAAAGGCAAGCUUCUGGUGCUUUCCUGGACCAUCCAAUAGCCAGACGACACGAUUCAGAAACUGCGAAAACCCACAAGCUCUUCCUUGUUAAAGCCUCACAGCUAUGGGCUCACUGAUGUCUCUAGCGGCAGAGACCAGCAGGUCCCAGCAGGACCCAGCAGGACCCAGCAGGACCCAGCAGGACCCAGCAGGACCCAGCAGGACCCAGCAGGACCCAGCAGGACCCAGCAGGACCCAGCGCUCAGGGUACAUCAUGCAUCCUUAUAAACACCCUUCCCGAGUCUUCCUUCAGACUCGCUUUCUUUCAUCUUUUGACCAUGGAACAGCUCCUAGCUAAAUUCAGCAAUGGAAAUGUUCGUAUGCUUGCCCCAUAAGCAAGCCACAAGAUUCACAGGAAGCUGUGUUUACCCUGGAACAUAGAACAUGGAAGGAACAUGGGGAAGAGCAGUACCAUUGGCCAAUUUCACUUGACCUACCAAGAUCACACAAGCUGCAUUUCAAACUCUGAAGUAUAGUUCUACUUAAAGUGUCACCUUGGAGAUAAAUUAUCCUCUGGAAGAAAGCUGGCUGGCCUGCCCAGUUCCAAAGCAAAGGAAAUGAGAAUCUCAAGUGCUGUGUCUUGCACCAUGAGUUCUGGUUGUAGAUUACAUACCUUCAACCUGACAAGCAAUGGUACCAGCUAUAUGACUGCCUUUCUACUAACUCUCUUUCUAUCACUUUGUAACUAGAGGAAGGAACUAUUCUACAGUGCCCUUCUUCUAAUUAUUUGUAGUUUAGUUUUUGUAUAAGUAUGUAUUAUAUGCGGAUUCUCUCUUUUCCUACCUCUACUCCCCCAUUAAUCCCAUUUGUAUGCUAGACAUUUUUAUUUCCACCUUCAUAGCAUAUGCAUGUACCUGAUAUUUUGUGAUAAAAUCUAGGAGACACCAACAAAAGAAAAAAUAUAUUGUCUUCCUGAGACUUGAUUCUCUAAAUGUGAAUCCCUAGCUAUACCAUCUUCCUACAAGUGACAUAAUUUUCUCCAUUUUUAUGGCUGAAAAGUUUUCAUUUUGUUUACCUAUGUUAAUAAAUUUGCCUAUAACCUGU